UGAACGCUGGCGGCGUGCCUAAUACAUGCACGUCGAGCGAACAGACGAGGAGCUUGCUCCUCUGACGUUAGCGGCGGACGGGUGAGUAACACGUGGAUAACCUACCUAUAAGACUGGGAUAACUUCGGGAAACCGGAGCUAAUACCGGAUAAUAUAUUGAACCGCAUGGUUCACUAGUGAAAGACGGUUUUGCUGUCACUUAUAGAUGGAUCCGCGCCGCAUUAGCUAGUUGGUAAGGUAACGGCUUACCAAGGCAACGAUGCGUAGCCGACCUGAGAGGGUGAUCGGCCACACUGGAACUGAGACACGGUCCAGACUCCUACGGGAGGCAGCAGUAGGGAAUCUUCCGCAAUGGGCGAAAGCUUGACGGAGCAACGCCGCGUGAGUGAUGAAGGUCUUCGGAUCGUAAAACUCUGUUAUUAGGGAAGAACAAAUGUGUAAGUAACUAUGCACGUCUUGACGGUACCUAAUCAGAAAGCCACGGCUAACUACGUG
rnacentral:rRNA from 1 species